CCUACGGGGGGCAGCAGUGGGGAAUAUUGGACAAUGGGCGAAAGCCUGAUCCAGCCAUGCCGCGUGUGUGAAGAAGGCCUUCGGGUUGUAAAGCACUUUCAGUGGGGAAGAAAGCCUUGGGGCUAAUACCCUCGAGGAAGGACAUCACCCACAGAAGAAGCACCGGCUAACUCCGUGCCAGCAGCCGCGGUAAUACGGAGGGUGCGAGCGUUAAUCGGAAUUACUGGGCGUAAAGCGCGCGUAGGCGGUCUGAUAAGCCGGUUGUGAAAGCCCCGGGCUCAACCUGGGAACGGCAUCCGGAACUGUCAGGCUAGAGUGCAGGAGAGGAAGGUGGAAUUCCCGGUGUAGCGGUGAAAUGCGUAGAGAUCGGGAGGAAUACCAGUGGCGAAGGCGGCCUUCUGGACUGACACUGACGCUGAGGUGCGAAAGCGUGGGUAGCAAACAGGAUUAGAUACCCUUGUAGUC
rnacentral:rRNA from 1 species